CCUACGGGAGGCAGCAGUGAGGAAUAUUGGUCAAUGGACGAGAGUCUGAACCAGCCAAGUAGCGUGAAGGAUGACUGCCCUAUGGGUUGUAAACUUCUUUUAUAUGGGAAUAAAAUGUUCCACGUGUGGGAUUUUGUAUGUACCAUAUGAAUAAGGAUCGGCUAACUCCGUGCCAGCAGCCGCGGUAAUACGGAGGAUCCGAGCGUUAUCCGGAUUUAUUGGGUUUAAAGGGAGCGUAGGUGGAUUGUUAAGUCAGUUGUGAAAGUUUGCGGUUCAACCGUAAAAUUGCAGUUGAAACUGGCAGUCUUGAGUACAGUAGAGGUGGGCGGAAUUCGUGGUGUAGCGGUGAAAUGCUUAGAUAUCACGAAGAACUCCGAUUGCGAAGGCAGUUCACUGGACUGCAACUGACACUGAGGCUCGAAAGUGUGGGUAUCAAACAGGAUUAGAUACCCGUGUAGUC
rnacentral:rRNA from 1 species